GAUGAACGCUGGCGGCGUGCCUAACACAUGCAAGUCGAACGAAGCAAUUAAGAUGAAGUUUUCGGAUGGAAUCUUGAUUGACUGAGUGGCGGACGGGUGAGUAACGCGUGGAUAACCUGCCUCACACUGGGGGAUAACAGUUAGAAAUGACUGCUAAUACCGCAUAAGCGCACAGUGCCGCAUGGCAGUGUGUGAAAAACUCCGGUGGUGUGAGAUGGAUCCGCGUCUGAUUAGCCAGUUGGCGGGGUAACGGCCCACCAAAGCGACGAUCAGUAGCCGACCUGAGAGGGUGACCGGCCACAUUGGGACUGAGACACGGCCCAAACUCCUACGGGAGGCAGCAGUGGGGAAUAUUGCACAAUGGGCGAAAGCCUGAUGCAGCGACGCCGCGUGAGUGAUGAAGUAUUUCGGUAUGUAAAGCUCUAUCAGCAGGGAAGAAAAUGACGGUACCUGACUAAGAAGCCCCGGCUAACUACGUGCCAGCAGCCGCGGUAAUACGUAGGGGGCAAGCGUUAUCUGGAUUUACUGGGUGUAAAGGGAGCGUAGACGGCGAAGCAAGUCUGAAGUGAAGACCCAGGGCUCAACCCUGGGACUGCUUUGGAAACUGUUUUGCUAGAGUGUCGGAGAGGUAAGUGGAAUUCCUAGUGUAGCGGUGAAAUGCGUAGAUAUUAGGAGGAACACCAGUGGCGAAGGCGGCUUACUGGACGAUAACUGACGUUGAGGCUCGAAAGCGUGGGGAGCAAACAGGAUUAGAUACCCUGGUAGUCCACGCCGUAAACGAUGAUG
rnacentral:rRNA from 1 species